CCCUUAGAUGUCCCGGGCCGCACGCGCGCUACACUGAUGCAUGCAACGAGUUUAUAACCUUGGCCUGAAAGGUCUGGGUAAUCUUUUGAACGUGCAUCGUGAUAGGGAUAGAUUAUUGCAAUUGUUAAUCUUGAACGAGGAAUUCCUAGUAAACGCGAGUCAUCAGCUCGCAUUGAUUACGUCCCUGCCCUUUGUACACACCGCCCGUCGCACCUACCGAUUGAAUGGUUCGGUGAAGAUCUCGGACUUCGAUAUUUAUUCUUUAUUGAGUUUAUAUUGUGGGAAGUUAUCUAAACCUCAUCAUUUAGAGGAAGGUGAAGUCGUAACA
rnacentral:rRNA from 1 species